rnacentral:ncRNA from 1 species
GCAGCAGCGAUGACGAAGACAGUAGCCUGCCGGGCACAGUCAAGCGAGUCGGGGACAGUGCGAGCCCGAUCGGAAAGAUGGCAGGGGAAGAUCACUUCAGAGCUUCUGGGCUGAAAACAGUAAGCCCGGACGGGUAACACACGUUAUGGUGUUUCGAGUGGCAGGCAUCUUAAGUCUGUCAUGAGGGUGGUACCACGGGUUUAUAGUCUCGUCCCUUUU